GGAUUUUUAAGUGAGGUGUGAAAGCCCUGGGCUUAACCUGGGAAUUGCAUUUCAGACUGGGAAUCUAGAGUACUUUAGGGAGGGGUAGAAUUCCACGUGUAGCGGUGAAAUGCGUAGAGAUGUGGAGGAAUACCGAAGGCGAAGGCAGCCCCUUGGGAAUGUACUGACGCUCAUGUGCGAAAGCGUGGGGAGCAAACAGGAUUAGAUACCCUGGUAGUCCACGCUGUAAACGCUGUCGAUUUGGGGGUUGGGGUUUAACUCUGACGCCCGUAGCUAACGUGAUAAAUCGACCGCCUGGGGAGUACGGCCGCAAGGUUAAAACUCAAAUGAAUUGACGGGGGCCCGCACAAGCGGUGGAGCAUGUGGUUUAAUUCGAUGCAACGCGAAGAACCUUACCUACUCUUGACAUCCAGAGAAUCCUGUAGAGAUACGGGAGUGCCUUCGGGAGCUUUGAGACAGGUGCUGCAUGGCUGUCGUCAGCUCGUGUUGUGAAAUGUUGGGUUAAGUCCCGCAACGAGCG
rnacentral:rRNA from 1 species